GAUGAACGCUGGCGGCGUGCCUAAUACAUGCAAGUCGAGCGAACAGACGAGGAGCUUGCUCCUCUGACGUUAGCGGCGGACGGGUGAGUAACACGUGGAUAACCUACCUAUAAGACUGGGAUAACUUCGGGAAACUGGAGCUAAUACCGGAUAAUAUAUUGAACCGCAUGGUUCAAUAGUGAAAGACGGUUUUGCUGUCACCUAUAGAUGGAUCCGCGCCGCAUUAGCUAGUUGGUAAGGUAACGGCUUACCAAGGCGACGAUGCGUAGCCGACCUGGGAGGGUGAACGGCCACACUGGAACUGAGACACGGCCCAGACUCCUACGGGAGGCAGCAGUAGGGAAUCUUCCGCGAUGGGCGAAAGCCUGACGGAGCAGCGCCGCGUGAGUGAUGAGGGUCUUCGGAUCGUAAAACUCUGUUAUUAGGGAAGAACAAAUGUGUAAGUAACUAUGCACGUCUUGACGGUACCUAAUCAGAAAGCCACGGCUAACUACGUG
rnacentral:rRNA from 1 species